rnacentral:tRNA from 1 species
GUCCAGGGAUGGGAAACGAACCCAUAGUGUUCCGCUUACCGGGUAGGUGCCAUGUCCACUAGGCUACCCUGGA